CCGGGCUUGUUCAAACUGGUCUGUGCUUCUCCUUGAACUGUAUCUUUGAGAAGGAGAUUUCUCAACAGUUGAUAUGAACUUCUUCAGAUGCCUGAUAUACUCUGGAAAGUGCUCUAAAUCGCAGUGGUUCCCUCCUUUAAGCCAUAGUGGUUCAUAUUUUUCUUUACACAGUUCCCAGAGUUGCUUACCAUGGGAGCAAUCGACCACCUCAUCUGAAGUUCC
rnacentral:misc_RNA from 1 species